GGCGACUAAGAGAAUGAAAGUGAGAGCAGCAAAAUCCUCUCUACCUCCGUUCCCAUGGUGAUCGGCUGCUCUUCAGCCUCUCGCGUCAGUCCGCAGCUCAUGACCUGAAUCCCAAAUACUUGGACGUUAGCCUUCUGUACGGCUCCCCGUCACCCUAGGGGUUCUCUGCAUCCGGAUCUUUCCUUGACCUCUUCCGGAAAGUGCCCUUCCUUGAAGGCUGGCUGCACAGUUUCAUGCUUCGCGUUCAUGCUUCCCCCCCCCCCCCCCCCCAUGACUGUCAAUCAGGCUUCGGCGCCACUUUCUUCGAUUCCUCCCAUACCAGCUGAAGAAGGGCGACCCAUUUGUGAUGCAAUCAUGCAAUCACUCUAAUGAUGGUGACAUUUUCCAGGGGAGACUCGGACAUAUCUUGCAGCCAUCGACCGUUCCAGGUGUUUCGAGUUGCUGAGAAUGAGUUUGGGUACAGCCCAGAUGUCAUCACAAACACCAUCGAUGUGUCCUUUCCCACUAAACACUUAUUAGAAAUUUUUAAGAGCAGAUUCGUUACCACAUUGUAACCUUAGCCUGUGUUGUGGGUGUAUUUUACUGUAAAAUACACUGGCAGCAGACGACCCCUCCACUGUCACCGUUUCCAGGGCAACGUACACUUCUUUAGCUUUGCGUGCAAAGUGUCCGGCGGGAGAGAUGCUUGACCACUUGGUAGUAGGCAGACGAGCUGCGGGGGGGUGUGGGGGCUCUUGCCAGCAGCUGCGUUUCACAAAGACACAGGGGAAGGAGGGGGCUCCGUCUUCUCGGCCACUCCAACGAUGCGUCCCUUUUCAUUUCUGCUGAGGUUCAGGAGGCAAAGCCGUGAACCUCAUGUGUCUGUCCACAUUUACUCUUCCUGUUAGAACAUCUCAGAGGGGAUGGUGAUUUAGCUGUUUAUACAGCAGUGUGUUCUUACUGUAUGGCUUCGAGCUCCGACUCGCCGGCUUCGAGAUCGCGCGCAUCCGUCGCCGCGCGUGCAGGCAGCGCUCGCGUGAUCCACUGCGGGGAAGGCGGAGGCGCGAGACGGGCGGCGGAACGGAGGAGAGAGGUUCGGAGGAGAGGAUGCGCUGCUGGACUCUCCGGGGUGACGGAGCUUUCUGAGAGCGUCAUGAGGUUCCCAUCUGGAGCUGCACACGGCCUGCUGAUGAGUUUAAAGGAGCAGCACAAACUUUUGUGACCUUGGAUCGCUUGGAGGCGUUCAUGGAAGCCGUAGAAUUGCCGUGAC
rnacentral:lncRNA from 1 species